rnacentral:rRNA from 1 species
UACGUAGGGGCCAAGCGUUGUCCGGAUUUAUUGGGCGUAAAGAGCUCGUAGGCGGUUCGGCAAGUCGGAUGUGAAAUCUCCACGCUCAACGUGGAGGGGUCAUUCGAUACUGCCGUGACUUGAGUACGGUAGGGGAGUGUGGAAUUCCCGGUGUAGCGGUGAAAUGCGCAGAGAUCGGGAGGAACACCCGUAGCGAAGGCGGCACUCUGGGCCGAUACUGACGCUGAGGCGCGAAAGCGUGGGGAGCGAACAGG